UUAAUAAUUAUAUAUUGAUUAGUGACGAUAUUUAGUAAUAAGUGCUGCUACUUUAUUAUAUAUAGUUAAUGGCGUUCACUAAUUUACGCUGCUAAUUUAUCCUAUUUUGCAACAUUAAUAGUAAAUUACUGCUAAAUUAUUAAAUCAAGCGGUAAUUAUCAAGUAAUGUUAUUAAAUAUAUUAAUUAGCAUAAUUUAAAUAAUGUUGCGGAGUAAAUGUCGCGACAUUUAGCAAUAAGCACUGCUACUUUGUUACAUUUAAUAUCAUUUUUUAUAAAAUGCUGAAAAUUUCAACGACAUUCACUAAUUUAUGCUGCUAAUUUAUCCUAUUUUACAACAUUAAUAAUAGAUUGCUACUAAAUUAUUAAAUAUAGCGGCAAUUAUCAAGUAAUGCUAUUAAAUAUAUUAAUUAGCAUGAUUUAAAUGCUACGGAGUAAAUGCUGCUAAAUCAUGGAUUUAUUGUAGUGAUGUAAAUUUUGAGGACAAGAAAUAUUAUAAAAACUUAUAUGAUCGUAUCUGUGACGAAUAUUUGGAACUUUAAGAUAAGUAUGAAACAUUUAACUUGGACUUUAAUUUUCUCAAAAAGUCCUGUAAUUUUUUAAUUAAAGAAAAAUAAAUUGUCGCUGUUUUGAAGGAAAUCAAGAAAAGUAUUGAUAGGUAUUGCGCCUUCAUUAAUCCCCCCUAAUGUUGAUCUGAUGGAAGAAGAGCUAAUUGGAUAUCCGGUAACUUCACAUACUGCAGAAACAACGGUAACAACUAGCGAUGAUCCGGAAAUACCUUCUGGUUAUUACAAGAUCUAGCCUUUCUGCCGUUUGACAUAAAAUACUGUUGCUUUCCUAACCUACUAAGUAUGUUUUUAUGUUUGUUUUGCAUCUCAAUUUUCACAAAGUAUUUUUGUCUAUGCCUAGGCUUGAAUUUCGUCAUAUAUCUACUUGUCUUUCUAGAUUGUUUUGCCCUUUUGUUUCUGUUGUUGAUCAUCCUUUUAAUAAAUUAAGAAGAAAAAGAAAUUGCAAUUACGUUUAUUGUUGCUUCAUUAAUUGUUGUUUACAUUGUUUGCACUGUUCAAGCUACUGAUAUGUCUCAUCUACUACAUAAUAAAAAAAAAUUAUAUUAUUAUUCUUGGAAUAUUUGGGGGGAACAUAAUCAAAUAACAUAGAAAAAAAAUUCUAACGGAGAGAGUAUUACAUCUGCUGCUUCUCCUUAAUCUACUAAUGGUGAUGCUCAUGUUGUUGCUGCUUUCCUUCUGGAUAUCUAUAUCGANAUUAACGGCGAUAUAAAUUAUUAAAUCAUCGUUAAAUAAUAAUUACAACAUUUUAUCCUAUUUAAUCGUCAUACUUAAUCACUUACGGCGACUUUAAAAAUCGUAAAAUAUUUUUUACUGUGAUUUACAUUGUUUCAUCGUCGCGAAUAACGAUUUACAGCGCUGUAAAUGAGGCAUUGUAAAUAAAUUUAAUACGAUUAAUUAUAUCAAGUAAUGCUAUUAAAUAUAUUAAUUAGCAUGAUUUAAAUGUUACGGAGUAAAUGCUGCUAAAUCAUGAAUUUAUUGUAGUG
rnacentral:lncRNA from 1 species